CCUACGGGAGGCAGCAGUGGGGGAUAUUGCACAAUGGGGGGAACCCUGAUGCAGCGACGCCGCGUGGGUGAAGGAGCGUUUCGGCGCGUAAAGCCCUAUCGGCAGGGAAGAAGAUGACGGUACCUGGCCAAGAAGCCCCGGCUAACUACGUGCCAGCAGCCGCGGUAAAACGUCGGGGGCAAGCGUUAUCCGGAUUUACUGGGUGUAAAGGGGGCGCAGACGGCAAUGCAAGCCCGGAGUGAAAGCCCGGGGCCCAACCCCGGGACUGCCCUUGAAACUGGAUGGCUUGAGUACAGGAGGGGCAGGCGGAAUUCCUAGUGUAGCGGUGAAAUGCAGAGAUAUUAGGAGGAACACCGGUGGCGAAGGCGGCCUGCUGGACUGUGACUGACGUUGAGGCCCGAAGGCGUGGGGAGCAAACAGGAUUAGAUACCCUUGUAGUC
rnacentral:rRNA from 1 species